rnacentral:rRNA from 1 species
CCUACGGGUGGCAGCAGUAGGGAAUCUUUCACAAUGGGCGAAAGCCUGAUGGAGCAACGCCGCGUGCAGGAUGAAGGCCUUCGGGUUGUAAACUGCUUUUAUAAGCGAGAAAUAUGAUGGUAACUUAUGAAUAAGGAUCGGCUAACUACGUGCCAGCACCCGCGGUCAUACGUAGGAUCCGAGCAUGAGCCGGGGUGACGGGUGGUAAAGAGUUGCGUAGGUGGCAUAAUAAGUAGCUAGUGAAAUCUGUUGGCUCAACCAUUCAGACUAUUAGCUAUACUGUUAAGCUCGAGACUGUUAGAGGUAACUAGAAUUUCAGGUGUAGGAGUGAAAUCCGUAGAGAUUAGAAGGAACACCAAUAGCGUAGGCAGGUUACUGGGACGGUUCUGACACUCAGGCACGAAAGCGUAGGGAGCAAACGGGAUUAGAUACCCUAGUAGUC